rnacentral:lncRNA from 1 species
UAAUUAUCUUGCUAAGUGAGCAUCAAAAUGGAGAGACUAAAGGCUGGGACUAACAUAUGGCCGCAACUCUGAGGUUAGCUUUCCCUCUGUUUCAGGAAGCUCCCAGUAAGCGGAAAGCAAACGCCUGCUUGGCAGCCGUGUGGAGAAGGAACCACUCCAAGUGGCAGUAGCCCCAUUUCUGAUGAUCGCAGGACAUCCGCAGAGGAAUGAGCUCAUGUGUCCCCUUCAGCAACGCCAAGCAGUGAAAUGGGAAGCCU